rnacentral:rRNA from 1 species
UGGGGAAUAUUGGACAAUGGGCGCAAGCCUGAUCCAGCAAUGCCGCGUGAGUGAGGAAGGCCUUAGGGUUGUAAAGCUCUUUCGCACGCGACGAUGAUGACGGUAGCGUGAGAAGAAGCCCCGGCUAACUUCGUGCCAGCAGCCGCGGUAAUACGAAGGGGGCUAGCGUUGUUCGGAAUUACUGGGCGUAAAGGGCGCGUAGGCGGCCUGUUUAGUCAGAAGUGAAAGCCCCGGGCUCAACCUGGGAAUAGCUUUUGAUACUGGCAGGCUUGAGUUCCGGAGAGGAUGGUGGAAUUCCCAGUGUAGAGGUGAAAUUCGUAGAUAUUGGGAAGAACACCGGUGGCGAAGGCGGCCAUCUGGACGGACACUGACGCUGAGGCGCGAAAGCGUGGGGAGCAA